UGACGGUACCUGACUAAGAAGCCCCGGCUAACUACGUGCCAGCAGCCGCGGUAAUACGUAGGGGGCAAGCGUUAUCCGGAUUUACUGGGUGUAAAGGGAGCGUAGACGGUCUGGCAAGUCUGAUGUGAAAGGCAGGGGCUCAACUCCUGGACUGCAUUGGAAACUGUCAGUCUUGAGUGUCGGAGAGGUAAGCGGAAUUCCUAGUGUAGCGGUGAAAUGCGUAGAUAUUAGGAGGAACACCAGUGGCGAAGGCGGCUUACUGGACGAUAACUGACGUUGAGGCUCGAAAGCGUGGGGAGCAAACAGGAUUAGAUACCCUG
rnacentral:rRNA from 1 species